ACAAAAACUUUAUCUGUAUAGAUUUUUGAAAAAUCCAGAUAAUUAUCCAGAUUUUACUUUCUCUCGAUAGAAAACAGUACUGCCAAGGUGCAUUACACUUAUUAAAUGUCAGAUUCCAUUAAACGACAGCUGCAGGUGACAGAUAUAUGACAAAAAAAUAUAAUAUUUAAAAUUGAAUUCAAUUAGGAAUAACAAACAACACAAAUCAAUGAUUCACGUAUUUGCAAGAGUGCGAUAUCUUCCACAAAACCAAAGAAAAAACCUGAAAAGCAGAUGGAAAGUAUAUCAAUUUAUUCUUACAAUGAGAUAGCAUAUUUAUCUUUUUUCUAGGAAUUAUUUCACAAAAGAAGAAUUCUGUGUACUGUGCGCUUGUUUCUUAUACAUGUCGGUACCUUCAAACCUUACAGCCAAAUGUAAUGUAAAUGCUCUCGGAAUGCCAGCUCGUUUGCGAAAACAUCUAUUCUUUGACUAUAAACAUGGUUAAAUGAAAACAAAGCUCUUGUUAAUCAAUCGCCUCAUUAUGCCCACCACAAAAACUUAUAACUUUUUAAAAAGAUACACGUCAUGUCUGUGCGCUGCGAAGAAAAGCAAAUACAAACAUACCUCCCGAAAAAUAUUCCUUCAGGAAAUACUUUUCAUCCCAAACAGCAGACAGCAACAAGCAAGACAAUCCUAACAUUGCAUUGCAGCUCAUUCAAUACCCAAAUCCUUCAACUCCCUAAAAUCUCCCUCACUUUAUGUAAAUGGUAUCAGAACCAAGACCCGUUGAUGAGAAGCCAUCUUAGAAGAAGAUCACUUCACUGCCUGUGCAAAUGAUGGUGUCGACAUGUGCAUGUAAAGUGAAGUGUAGAAACAAUGGCAUCUUGAAAGUUGAUGUAUAAGAAAUAUUUUAAAGAACGUUAUGGUAAUUGUUUCAGAGCAUCAUUUAGGUCCCCAAUUGGUUACAGAUGUACUCUGCCUGCAUUGAUGUCGUCCUGUUUCUGUACGAAAUGUCUUCUACAAAUGGCUCUAAGGCCUCCAUCGAGAUCCCGAGAAAAUGAUAUCUGCAUGAAUUUUCUUCGCAAUUACUUUCCCCUCCUUAACAGCUAGGAAGGAAUUUAGGCAAUACACAUGGAUUCCCAACCCAACUCAACCAACCCUACAACUGGACAUAAUGGGUCUGAACACCCCCGAGCACAACCUAUACAGCAGACUUUUUAGAUUAAGUUAAUCCAUGUAUUAUAUUUUAUAACUUUGUUCAUUAUUUAACGUUAGGCUCCCUUUGUGCCAACAAAAUUUUGUAACUAUCAAUGUAUCUUAGAAAUAAGUUAUUUUAAGUCAAUUGUAAAUAGCAAGUUCAAUAAACCAAAAUUGAAUUCCAAUACACAUGGAUAAACAAAAAAACAUAUUUGCAAGCUAGCAUUCUUGAUCCAGCUGUGGGAGUCCUUACAAAGGCGGGAGAU